GCAUAUCAAUAAGCGGAGGAAAAGAAACCAACAGGGAUUGCCCUAGUAACGGCGAGUGAAGCGGCAACAGCUCAAAUUUGAAAGCUAGCCUUCGGGUUCGCAUUGUAAUUUGUAGAGGAUGAUUUGGGGAAGCCGCCUGUCUAAGUUCCUUGGAACAGGACGUCAUAGAGGGUGAGAAUCCCGUAUGUGACAGGAAAUGGCACCCUAUGUAAAUCUCCUUCGACGAGUCGAGUUGUUUGGGAAUGCAGCUCUAAAUGGGAGGUAAAUUUCUUCUAAAGCUAAAUAUUGGCGAGAGACCGAUAGCGCACAAGUAGAGUGAUCGAAAGAUGAAAAGCACUUUGGAAAGAGAGUUAAAAAGCACGUGAAAUUGUUGAAAGGGAAGCGCUUGCAAUCAGACUUGUUUAAACUGUUCGGCCGGUCUUCUGACCGGUUUACUCAGUUUGGACAGGCCAGCAUCAGUUUCGGCGGCCGGAUAAAGGCUCUGGGAAUGUGGCCUCCACUUCGGUGGAGGUGUUAUAGCCCAGGGUGUAAUACGGCCAGCCGGGACUGAGGUCCGCGCUUCGGCUAGGAUGCUGGCGUAAUGGUUGUAAGCGACCCGUCUUGAAACACGGACC
rnacentral:rRNA from 2 species